ACUUCGGCCGCCCCAAACCCUCUCUUCCGCGGCGGCGGCCAUGGAGAUGAAAGAGGCCGCCGCGGCGGCGGCGGCGGCCGGACCCGACCCCAAUGCGCGAGAAUCCCAUGGAGCCGCGCGGAGUGGCGACUGCGACGAGGCCGACAGCGAUCUCAUCAGCCGCCUCCCCGACGACGCCCUCGGCACUAUCGUCUCCCUCCUCCCCACCAAGGACGGCGGCCGCACGCAGGCCCUCUCCCGCCGAUGGCGCCACCUCUGGCGCUCCGCGCCUCUCAACAUCGAGGUCCGCUCCCCUGCCAGCCCCCAGCACCCCUCCUCCGUCCCCCCCUCCGCCGUCCCCAACAUAAUCUCCCAACACCCCGGCCCCGCCCGCCGAUUCUCCUUCCGCUGCCGCGGCGCCGGUGAUCUCUACGCCCAGACGGAGCGCUGGUUCGCCUCCCGGGCCCUCGCCAACCUCCAGGAGCUUGAUAUCGGCUACGAGUACCCCUCUGCACGUAUAAGCCACCCGCUGUCGCAAUCCGCGUUCCGCUCCGCAUCCACCCUCCUCGUCGCCAAGAUCAAAGAUUGCAGUUUCCCGGACGCGGUCUCACGGUCAAUGAAUUUCCCCCUCCUCAACCAGCUUACCUUGGAUUGUGUUUCGAUCUCGGGGGACGCGUUCCACGGCUUGCUCUCCGGCUGCCAUGCCUUGGGUUGGAGAGCUUAUCCAUGCUCGAAGUUCAUGCUGCUGGUUGCUUCCAUGUUAGCUCACCAACUCUUAGGAGCAUUGGCUUCCGUGAUAGCUCUGAUGAAAAAGCAGAAUUGGCCUUGAAAGGUUAUUGUUACCGUAUAGUCACCUGAAUGAUCGUGUGACUAUCCGGAUUAUUAGGGCACCUAAACUGGAGAUAUUUGGGCCUUUCUCGCCGGACUUGUGCCAACUCCCGGUCUUCCAGGGAAUGGGCCCAGUCAGCUCCGCAAACUCGAUAUCUACCGUGAAGGUUUUGGCUCUCGGGUGUCAUAGUUAUCGUCUGAAUGCAGUUCUUGACAUCCUCAGGUGGUUCCCCUGUUUGGGAAAGCUCUAUGUCACCGUGAGUGUUCAUCUUGGCCUGCUUUAAAUUUUGGCAUGCAAAAGCAAAAUUUGCCUCAUUAUGACCGACCACAUCCCAUGGAAUGCCUUCAGACCCAUCUAAAGGAAGUGGUGUUGAAGUAUUUCAAUGGUUACGAGCAACAUAUUGACUUUGCCAGGUUCUUUGUUUUGAACGCAAAAGUGGUAAACAAAAUUGAAUUCCAUGUACGUGAGGACCACUACAGCAAUGAAUUUGUGGCUCGUCAACACACGCUGUUCGAAGCCGAAAACAGAGCUUCUCCGGAUGCUCAAUUUGAAUUCAGGAAAACUUGUGGUUCUAUUGAUUAUCAUGUCAGCAAGCAUAUCCACGAUCUGUCGGUGGCCGACCCCUUCGCAGACAGGGUUGAUGCCUGAAGAUUGCCCUCUUUUGUGCUUAUUCUCUAGAUGGGGUUGAUGCAAAAGGAGUCCACUUCUGAAAUAUUGUAAUGGGUAGGAAUGCAAAAAAAUUACUGCUGGAAGUUGUAAAGUGGGAUGGAGCUGGUAACCCCACCCACCAGAACUCUUCUGGCCCUUUUGGCAACUUAACUGUCCUUUCAGUUAUAUACAGAAGUAUGAGAAGUUUAGUUGCCGAUUAGAUUUUUCUGGAUGCACACAGCUUAUGUAUGAUGCUUAUGAAA